rnacentral:lncRNA from 1 species
GAUGGGCAACAAGUCAGACUUGCUCCUGUCGAAGAAUUGAUGGAAAUUGAGCUCGAGCAUGAUAAGAAGGUGACGAUUGGUCGGGAUCUUGACGUCACCCUGAAGACAGAACUUGUUAGUUGCUUAUCUCGCAACAUUGACGUUUUUGCCUGGAAGGUUGAGGAUAUGUCGGGGAUAGACCCUAAAAUUGCAGUCCAUAGG